GAGGGUAUAGCUCACGUAGUAGAGCACAUGCUUAGCAUGCAUGAGGUCCUGGGUUCAAUCCCCAGUACCUCCA
rnacentral:tRNA from 1 species